UACGUAGGGGGCUAGCGUUGUCCGGAUUUAUUGGGCGUAAAGAGCGUGUAGGCGGCCAGGUAGGUCCGCUGUGAAAACUCGAGGCUCAACCUCGAGACGUCGGUGGAAACCAUCUGGCUAGAGUCCGGAAGAGGAGAGUGGAAUUCCCGGUGUAGCGGUGAGAUGCGCAGAUAACGGGAAGAACACCCGUGGCGAAAGCGGCUCUCUGGGACGGUACUGACGCUGAGACGCGAAAGCGUGGGGAGCGAACAGG
rnacentral:rRNA from 1 species